rnacentral:rRNA from 1 species
CCUACGGGAAGCAGCAGUGAGGAAUAUUGGUCAAUGGACGAGAGUCUGAACCAGCCAAGUAGCGUGAAGGAUGACUGCCCUAUGGGUUGUAAACUUCUUUUAUAUGGGAAUAAAAUGUUCCACGUGUGGGAUUUUGUAUGUACCAUAUGAAUAAGGAUCGGCUAACUCCGUGCCAGCAGCCGCGGUAAUACGGAGGAUCCGAGCGUUAUCCGGAUUUAUUGGGUUUAAAGGGAGCGUAGGUGGAUUGUUAAGUCAGUUGUGAAAGUUUGCGGCUCAACCGUAAAAUUGCAGUUGAAACUGGCAGUCUUGAGUACAGUAGAGGUGGGCGGAAUGCGUGGUGUAGCGGUGAAAUGCUUAGAUAUCACGAAGAACUCCGAUUGCGAAGGCAGUUCACUGGACUGCAACUGACACUGAGGCUCGAAAGUGUGGGUAUCAAACAGGAUUAGAUACCCCGGUAGUC